GGUUGAGAAUGACAUAACAAAGGAAUGAACAGAGAUGGAGGUCUACUAGCCUGCCUUUGGAGAAACUGGUGCAGAUCAUUAUAUUCAGCUCGAUUGGACUAUAAAAUGAUGGCAGUGCAGCUCUGCCUGGAAUGCAGCAUCUGAGGUGCAGAUGAAUAUGUAGAAUGCUCAUUGGGAAUGUCUGGAAUGGACAGCAAGCACCAGAGGACAGAGGAAAUGUGGGAAAACUACAAUGGGGCAAGUGAAAUAGGAUGCACUGGAGUGAAGGGGGCAGUGCUGGGGAUUGAAUCCUGAAUCUCCUGCAUCACAAUUCUAAAAACUAGCUACUGGGCAAAGAAUCUGCCCUUGCCUCAAUUGCUGACAGUAUACUCUCCAAACUGGACCAUCUAGAUGCAAAAGAAAGCAACUACCAAACUUCACCAAGACAAGGGGAUUACAGAUAAGAGAUUGCCAUGAGUCUCGGAAGACACUUUGGACUUUGAAAUAAGUUUGAGACUGUUAUAGACUAUGGAGACUUUUGAAGUUGGAGUGAAUGCAUUUUUACGUUAUACUAUGUCUAUAAGCCCUUGGAUACCAGCCUGGAAUGCAGACAUAAGAAUUCCAAGAUCAACAAAUAGCCUCAGGAAACCUGGCUGUGCUCAUUUCCUUUAAAGGAUUAUGUAGUCAAGGCCUUUAUCACACAGCUGAGGUGACUGCAGAUGACAGCAAACUUUGAAUGAGAAGGUCAUUCGGGCACUGCCUGUGAUGCCAUUCCUGCUGACAAAGCUGAGCCUUGCAAAGGGUCCCCUCCAUAGCAUCAAUCAUCAUCAUGUUGCAACAGUGGAUGACAUUGUCACUAAGUCUGCUGAAAAGGAUGGUUCUUUAAACGAGAUGAUUAUGCUAGUAACCUAUUAGAAAUCUCAAACCCUGGAAGGCUGUGGCAGGAGAACCCAGAGCUUCAAGCUAUCUUGGGCCACAUCUGGAGUUCCAGAAUAAGUUGAGUUUUGAAAAAUACUAUAUUUCAAUGUUAAUUAAGAUUAGGAAAAUAGAAUUGGAGAGAGGAAAGAAAAAUUAUGGGCUUAAUCCAAAAUAUAUUGUCAGCAGCUUCAACAAAAGAGAGGUGCACAUGAGACUUUAAUAUGGAAAAUGAAAAUCUGGGUUAGUCUUUACACAAAUAAAUGUGGACUUACAAAAAUCCAAAUACACCUAAUUGAGAGCAUUUUUCAACAUACUGUAAAGGACUUUUAUUCUUUAAUUAGAGCUUGGUAACUAAUGCUGUGGCUUUAAUUGAAGUGUAGGUGGUUUAUAUUACACACACACACACACACACACACACACACACACACACACACACACAGUCUUUUAGGAAGAUAAAGGCAAUGGGAGGAGGAUCAACUA